rnacentral:rRNA from 1 species
AGCAGUCGCCACGGGAAAACGGAGGGGGCUAGCGUUGUUCGGAAUUACUGGGCGUAAAGCGCACGUAGGCGGCUUUGUAAGUCAGAGGUGAAAGCCCGGGGCUCAACCCCGGAAUUGCCUUUGAGACUGCAUCGCUUGAAUCCAGGAGAGGUGAGUGGAAUUCCGAGUGUAGAGGUGAAAUUCGUAGAUAUUCGGAGGAACACCAGUGGCGAAGGCGGCUCACUGGUCCAUUACUGACGCUGAGGUGCGAAAGCGUGGGGAGCAAACAGGAUUAGAGACCCCAGUAGUCCCUGUCUCUUAUAC